AUUGAACGCUGGCGGCAGGCCUAACACAUGCAAGUCGAACGGAGCGGCGGACGGGGGAGUAAUGCCUAGGAAUCUGCCUGGGAGUGGGGGAUAGCGUCCGCAACCGGGCGCUGAUACCGCAUCCUCUCAGAUGAGCCUAGGCCGGAUUUGCUAGUUGGUGGGGUAAAGGCCUACCAAGGCGACGAUCCGUAGCUGGUCGUAGAGGAUGAUCAGUCACACUGGAACUGAGACACGGUCCAGACUCCGACGUGAGGCAGCAGUGGGGAAUAUUGGACAAUGGGCGAAAGCCUGAUCCAGCCAUGCCGCGUGUGUGAAGAAGGUCUUCGGGUUGUAAAGCACUUUCAGUUGGGAGGCGUUACCAACAGAAGAAGCACCGGCUAACUCCGUGCCAGCAGCCGCGGUAAUAC
rnacentral:rRNA from 1 species